rnacentral:rRNA from 1 species
AAAACGACUCUCGGCAACGGAUAUCUCGGCUCUCGCAUCGAUGAAGAACGCAGCGAAAUGCGAUACUUGGUGUGAAUUGCAGGAUCCCGUGAACCAUCGAGUUUUUGAACGCAAGUUGCGCCCGAAGCCUUUCGGCCGAGGGCACGUCUGCCUGGGUGUCACUC